AGAUGAGAGAAACACCCCGCUCACAGGAGACUGUGAGCGACACCGGGUCGGAGCCUCCCCAGCCCCGCCCUGGGCGUGCCUUCGCGCACACACCUGGAGCCCAUGGCUCCGGAACUCCUCACCGAUCGGA
rfam:Streptomyces aurantiacus JA 4570 Seq162, whole genome shotgun sequence.